rnacentral:rRNA from 1 species
AUUGAACGCUAACGGCAUGCUUAACACAUGCAAGUCGAACGGCAGCACGGUAGUAGCAAUACUAUGGGUGGCGAGUGGCGGACGGGUGAGUAAUACAUAGGAAUCUGCCUUGUAGUGGGGGAUAACCCGGGGAAACUCGGGCUAAUACCGCAUAAUCUUUACGAAGCAAAGUGGGGGACCUUCGGGCCCUACGCUACAAGAUGAGCCUAUGUCGGAUUAGCUAGUUGGAGGGGUAAAGGCCUACCAAGGCAACGAUCCGUAGCUGGUCUGGGAGGAGGAUGAGCCACCCUGGGACUGAGACACGGCCCAGACUCCUACGGGAGGCAGCAGUGGGGAAUAUUGGAAAAUGGGCGAAAGCCUGAUCCAGCAAUGCCGUGUGUGUGAAGAAGGCCUUCGGGUUGUAAAGCACUUUUAGUGGGGAAGAAAAGUUCAUGGCUAAUAUCCAUGAAUGCUGACGUUACCCACAGAAAAAGCACUGGCUAACUCUGUGCCAGCCGCCGCCGUAAUAC